UACGUAGGGAGCAAGCGUUGUUCGGAAUUACUGGGCGUAAAGAGUGCGUAGGCGGUGCCUUAAGUCUGUUGUGAAAUCUCCCGGCUUAACUGGGAGGGUGCGGUGGAAACUGGGGUGCUUGAGUGUGGGAGAGGUAAGCGGAAUUCCUGGUGUAGCGGUGAAAUGCGUAGAUAUCAGGAGGAACACCGGUGGUGUAGACGGCUUACUGGACCACGACUGACACUGAGGCACGAAAGCGUGGGUAGCAAACAGG
rnacentral:rRNA from 1 species